CACAAUUUUAUUUUUAGAAUGAGGGUGAAGAAGAAUCAGAGUCAGCAACGAUCAGUCAGAUUCCAGAAAAUGGGGAUCUGACAGGACGAGCUGAGAGUGGGACACAGCAAAAUGGAGUAGGGGAGGACCCCACUGCCAGGUCUACCGAAACUCACAGCCAAGAGUUACAAAUACAGGAGACAUAUUGAAUCUCGCAAGUUGACGUUCCGUGAGAAUGCCAAAGCCAGGACAAACCACGGAGCAGACAUUGUGUACAAAUCCCCCAACGUCUCAAACAAUACCUCUCCUCUCUGCAGCAUGUCACUGACAGAAAGCCUCAGCUCCCUCGGAUCACCGCAGCUUGCUACUCUCACUGAAGACCUGUCUGCCACUCUAGCACAGCAGAGCUUGUGAAUUUUUCUUUCCUUCCUUCUUGUUCUUUUCAAACUACAUUUAACCAAAACAAGAAGUUUAGCCUCAUUAACAGGAUUUGUGCUUUAAAAAGGAGUUGUUCCUAUUGAGUUAUUUCAGGGCUGGGUAGCUUUACUGCAAUCUUUUUUUAUCUAAAUUACUCCUCCCUAUGGGACAUUGUGAGAAAUAACUUAUAAGUUUGUGUUCUUUUGGGCUGACAGGCUCGCUCAGUGCUUUGGUUUCUCUAUCAGUGUCUGGCAGAACAGUUUGGAGACUGAGUACAGGAGCCUAUUGGAUCAUCUGUUAAUCAAUGAAUAAUAAUCAAGGGUGCUACUUCUAAUUAAUUCGAACACUCUAAUCCAAACUGAAACCCAAAUAUAAAACUUGCCUUUCCAACAACCAUUUAACUAAAUUAAAAGAUUUGUCUGUGUUUUGUAUCUUUUUUCCAAACCGCACUUCCUCAUUUAGUACCUCCAUCCAUGAAAUUCUAAUAGCAGUUCUAAAUUAACAUUUUAAAAAAAAAAAUUUGCCCUUCUGCCUGAAUUUCUAACAACUUACAAAAAUUCUAAUUCCAUUUUCUUUUAAAAGUUAUUGCUUUCCAAAUUCUUCCUUUUUCUUCAAAUAACUAUCAUUACAAUAUUAAGAUUGACAUUGAGAAAGGAAAGAGGAGGACUGGAGGAGUAUAGAUAUUCAAAGAAAGUGUUUGCGGUGAAUGUUAGUGAGGAAUUUUCAAACUUUAAGGGUUUGUUUAAAAUCUUUUUUAAAACAAAACACAGUCAUUAUUAUUAUAUAGAAUGAUACAUUAUAGGAGGUGACUAUUGAUUAUUUUCCCCUUGUGAAAUUCUGUAAUGUCUUGGCCAUGUUUCUCUCAGUGCUAUUUGCCAGAUUCCUAUACCAUGAGAACUGUAGUUUUGGGAGUUGAUCACUGCUCACUUCCUUUUUAGGCAUUUUAAUGGAAUUAUAAAAUCUUACAUUUCGCCCAUCACGCCUGUGCCAAUUCUUUAUAGAGCUGAUACUCCUGUUACUCCCAUUACUCCCACUCUUUCUCCAAAACCCUCUACUUUUCUUUAAUUUUCAAUUUCAUAGUGGGUCAACAUUUCUACUUCUGGCCUGUGAAAUAGUGAGAGCUCCAUUCAUUACACUCUCUCAUUUACUGAGUCUGGUGUUUAAGUGCAGAAUUAAUUUAUUGUCACUCAGAUGUCACCUACAUCCUGGUGAAAUGGAUAUUUCAGCCACAAUGAGAACUGAGUGGGAUAAAGGAUCAUCCUCUGCCUGAACCACUUGAUAUUGUUUGGUGGUUCAACUGAGUCAAGAGCAUUCAGAGCAAGCUGGUUUGAUACUCAGCACAUUAACAAGUGGGUGCACUUUAAAACCAGCCUUCUUAAUAACAUUGUUCAAACUGAUCUUGACGGAGGGCAGAUGGGGAUUAAAAAAUAAUUGAAAUGUAAAACCAUGAACCAGCAGAGAAUGGUUGUGGAUACGUUUGCUGUCCAGUGUGUGCCCUGUAAAGAGAUCUAUUGAAGUUAUGGGUGCUGAAUCCAUCACUCAAACCAAAUUCCUGGAGUUCCUAAAACCUAGAAUCUCAAGCUGUGAACUUGUCCCUCCCACUUAACAUUCUGUUUUUAGUGAGCAGAGUAUAGCAGGGGAAAAGUGAAGCUAUCAGGGCCUGUGUACAGGCAAAGGUAGUCGACCUGAAAUAUUAACCCUGCCUUCCUCCCUGCAGAGGUGAGGUGCUGUGUUUUCACUCUCUCCCCUUUCAAUUGAAUGUCACAUCCUUGGGAAUCUUCUCCAUCAUAAAAAGGAACACCUUAAGAUAAAAGCCAAUCCAUUUAAAUUUGGUUUUUGCACAAGUGAUAUGGCUAAAAUGUUCACUCCAUCCAGUGUGAUCUGAUUUUAUUUUUAAGUGCCUCUUAUCUGUUUUCAAAAGUGUUUAAAUUUAAAGCACAUUCCCAAAUGCUGCUGUGUUGAAAAAGGACUGUUUUGCUUUAUUUUUAGCAUCUUUUAUUGGGACCACAUAUGCAAUUGUGUUCGUGGCACCUUUCAAAAUGUGCACUUGCAGUAAAGUUGAAAUAUCUCAAUGCCAUCCUUAAAUCCAAUUAAAAUAAGCCUCCAGGGGUGACCUAUCCAGCCACAAACCUGGUGGGAGGGUAAUUUGGUUAGAGGGAGGGCUAGGGUCACAACUGGAUUUUUCUGUGUAGUGAUUCAAAGCCGUUACCCGCUCUUCCUGCAUUAAGAACAAGUCCUGUUAGUGAAUGAAACAGAGGCCUCUUUCCCUCAGUCUUUGCAGCUUCUGUGUUACUGCCUCGGUGUUUAAAUCUGUUUCAAAAGAAAACUGUAAUUUGUUUUAACUUGUAGAUUUCUUCAAAAGUUAAUAUUCGGUGAUGAAGUACUGAUCAUUGUAAAAUGAGUGGUGAUUUAAAAAUACAAUUAACUUUUUGUUUUCUGAGCAAUAUAAUCUUAAAGGUUGUGUUAAGUCAAGUGCCACCUUUAUUAAGAAGAGUCAUUUCAGGCAGGAUGGUGGACUGGGUUAGUGUCUUCCAGGAAAGUUUGUUUGCAGUGGAGUUUGGUAUAGAAAGCAGCCGGGUAUAUGUGGAAGUGAUGUUCGUACAGAAUUAUAUGAAAUGAAAAGGGAGGAAAGAGAGACUUUUAAAACAUCAUGGUCAUAAAACAAUGUGUAGCAAUGAGCCAAGUUUUAAUGGACGAUAUGACAUUGAAGUUAGUGACACAAAAUGGUAACUGCCACAACUGAAUGAGUGGAGAUAUAGGCCCCUUGUGCCUUGUGUGUAUUUAGAUUUAUCAAAUUUAAACUUGCAGGUUUCACUUGUGCGGUGGGUGAGAGAUAUGCACAAUGCAAUUGUGUUCGGUAACUGGCCUCCAAAGAAGAAGCUCAGACUAUAAAGUACCGAGUGUCUUCACCAGCACAAAGGGAGUUCGUAUAAAUUAUCUGUUUGAACAAUACAGAGAUCAAAAUUCUGCAGAGCAACUCCAGAAAUGUGUGCAAUAUUGUACCUCUCCACAGAAUUUUUAAAUUUGCAUGAGGUGAGAAUGAAGCCCUGAUUUACAGAAUGUCUCCUUCAGUUUGUGGAAGGCCAGUACAAAGUCAGCAAGUGAGACCUGGAUGUCACCAGAGGCACGGAGUUCACCAUCUCUUUUCUCAAUAGUGUACUGUCUGUAGUGGUAGGUGGAGAGAUAAAGUUUGGUAUCCUUAUUUGGGAUACAAUUGAAAGAUGUUUCUGUUGGCGAGUUAAACCCUGCCUAAUUUGGGGAGGAGGACCCAAACUGAUAAGGCAAAUGAAAGGGGUUAACCAUGGAAGAUCAUCUGUGAAUUGAUGAAUCUGGAUUUUACAACAGGGCUUUACUUUUCAGGUGAAGUCAGUUAUUCUAGUGUAACAUUAAUGUUUGCUUUAUCAAGAUUUGGCAGACAGUGGUAACUCUUGCUGAAAAGGAUGUACAGUGUUCCACACUUGCUGCUGUUUAUCUUCAUCCCAAUGCCAUUUGUCGUGAAUUUACUGCCUCUGCUCCAGUCUGUCCCAGUACCAUCACUGCUUCUCUCCAGCCUUGCAUUGCAUUUGCAAUCGUAGCUGCACUUAAGCUUUUAACACUAUUCAAAAUAGCUCGUGUUUAAUAUAUAAAUAUAUUUUCUGUUAUUGUUUACACUUAACUCAAAGUAGCUCUAGAAGAUGGCUGUUUAUAACAUUUUUAUUCUCUGCACUAAUGUUCAGGUGUGUGUUGAGAGAUGGAAAGGACUGUGUAGCAUUUUGAGUUAUCUUUUUUUAAAGACGAAAGUUUGUUUUGUAUAUGUGCGUGUGUGUGUUUUCAGAACUUACACCAGUGGAAAGAUAGCAAACUCACUUUAACUGGUCCUUAGAUCAAUGACUUCAGCAUUGUGUUAGUGUACAGUUUGUGUCCAAAUGCAGUUUUGUUUUUUGUGAAUUAGGAUGGGUAUGAGCUGUCUGGGAAAACUAAGAUUCCAGUGAACUACUGUCCUGGAGUUGCUGGAGGUUUAGCACCGUUCCUGAUUGAAAAGUGUUUCCAUAUUAGACAUUCAUGUAUUUCCAGGUUUCUGUUUUCCUAUUUCACCCAUUACACCCUCCUCUCUUGUUGAAAGGAGUGACUCAUGCUGGGGCUGUACCAUUUUGUGGGUGAGGUAAUUCUGAUUUACUCAUCAAUGUGGCCAUUCCCAAUGAACUACCCAUAAGUACGCCAAUACAUGUGUCUCUAACAGAACCCGUUGUGUAGCAAACAAGAACUCUCUUCAAGCCGGUCAGACCAUCAGUUAAAAUUUUGUUUCUUGAAUACUGUAGAAAGCCUUCAGGAUUUAUAACAGGAACAGGCGGGCGGAGUACCUAGGUUUGGAAGCUUUUUCUGCUGUUAGCUUAUCUCAGUCGACUCAUCAAGUGGUAUAGUGUCAGUGGCUGCAGUAGAUCCCCUACAUUACUGAUUAUCUUCCAGAUCACCUUAUCCCCAGUCUAUCUCCCACUGCAGUUUUACAUGUAGCAGAGAAUGAGAUCACCUUUGCUGUUACAACCAGUCUUAUUGGAUAUUCUGUACACAAUGUCUGGGAGAAUUAAGGAGCCCCACAAGAGUUGGUGCCCUUCAGGAGAUGAAAGAGUAGAAAUUAGCAAGCGAUGUUAAAGAAAUGGAGAGGUAUUAGUGAUGUUUAUUGGGAUUUGUAUUGGCUUUUAGAAGCACCUUUGUUGUGAAUCAGUCUGCUUUGUCCUUUCCUUUCAAAUUCCCAUUAGGGGAAAUAAAAGGGUUAGGGCGUGUGUUUGGUGGGCCCUUCUCUGUUUUCAAUAAUUUGUUAAAAAUCUAUUGCUAAGAGCCAUUGCUAUUCAUCUUUACUACAUUUACCAGUGGAAUAAGAUUAGAUUCAUUUCAGUACAAGAAUACACAUUUGAACAAAAUUGAUUUUAGGACAAACGUGGGAUUGCUGUGAGCUCGAGAAUCCCAUGACAGAUUGGUUCAGGUUUACAAUUGUGUUGAAAAAUGCUAUAUAAAAAUUUUUGCAUCCGACAGUUUGUAAAGAAUUGUACAAUCCGCUCAGUGCGAGGAUUUCAGAUGUUAUGUGCAUGUGUAUUUGUUACCAGGAUCAAUUUAAAGUGAUGUUUGUGCUGCUGUGAUUGUGAUUACUUCCUUUUGCGUUGCCUUUGUGUGGCUUAAUGUGAAUUGGUCUGUACCAGGAGCAAGUGAUUCUUUGACAUCAUCUGAAUGCCAUGUGUUUUUAAACCACCAUACCACUUCCCAGUACCACCUGGAGUAGAAAGAUGCUAUUGUAGUGCGAUUAUGGGCAGUCAACCAAUCUGAGGAAACUCUUGUACGUCCACAACUGACAUCUCAACUUUCUUGGUUGAGAGAGAGAUCUGGGAGGGUGCAUGGUGGAAAUCAGCCUGGGUUGUCAUUUCUAAUGGCUAUUCAGCAACUGUAUCUAAUAGAUGUCCAGAGAAAAGAAUAGGUUUAGAUUGCGUCUGUAGACAAAUAGCUCACCUAGAUUAUUAGUCAUGGGCAAAGUGCUUAUGAAAGCAAAGAUCCAACUCUUUUGUACAUGUGGAGGUGGGGAAGAACCUGGCAGGCCAUUAAAACUUGGAGUCUAAUGAGAGCCACUUUAGGGAAUGUGUAAAUGGUAUUUCAAUAAUCAGUGUGACUUGAUUCCAGAGGUAAUGCUCGAUUUGACCUAUAAUGUCCUCCUCAUCUUGACAUCACUCUCCCCUCUCCUACUCACCACCCACCGAAAAAAUUUCCUCUGUUACUGACCACUGUGAUUGUUGGCCAUACCAGGUCACCUCCAGAAUGAACAUAUUUGCUUGUGAAAUGUUCCUUUGAAUGAAUAAGCAAACUUUUUUGUUUUGCAUCUGCAUGUUGUACCUAGAUUUCUUCUUAAAGCUUUAUUGGUUGGGUGGGGGUGAGUGGAAAGCAGUGAAAUAAUGAGGACACUGAUAGUUUGCACUCCAGGCUAGUUGCCAUGGAGUGUGGAACCUAGUGUGACCUCCAUCAGAUUCUAGAGCAGGUAUGUGAAGUGACAGACAAUGACUGAUGUUUACUCAUGUAUAUUAUAUUCUUUAUAAAUAUUAAAACAAACACUGCAGUCCACUGCAAGGCCAAUAUAUCCCCUCCCAUCUCCUUAAAAAAAAAAUUAAGUCUUGUGACCAUUGUGAGACUGGAUGACUUGUGGCUCUAUAUAAAUUACGAAGAACCAGUGUCUCUGACAGCCUGCAUAGAAAAUAAAUAUGAAAUGUUUACUGCCCUUUUAAAAUCAGUUUCAUCGUCCAAAUGUGAAUUUUUGAUAGCAAACUAUUUCAAUUCAAAGGGACUUGACAUCACGUUGGCACUGAGUUUAAAGUAUUGGGCCUUCAUCACUCAUCUUAUACUCAGUUGAUGCUGCAUUGUUGAGUGUCUCCUUGUACAUGUUUCACCUCGCUUACUUCAGAUCAGCAAUUCUUUUAACUGCUGAACUUACCACCGCCCAACUACCAAGACAGUCCAUUCAACAAACCUAAAUUCAACAGAAAAGAGAGGCAAGAUAAACACUGCUGAUAGUUUUAGUGAAAAUUUGAGGAUGAGAAAAGCCUAUUGUUGUGGCACAAGCAUCAGUUCCCUACCAGUCUAUUCUACAUUUUCUUCCCUUCUUGCCAUCUACUCCCUCCUCUUUCCCCCUUUCUUUGGUGUUACCACUCUCCUUCAUCUAUCUGCAUUUUGGACUGUAUCAGCCUAUAGGUAACCUAGUCUCGUUUUUUUUCCCCCCCCAUUCAUUACCUUUUUAAAGAAGUUUCUUUUAUUGUUUUUCACUUUUCGGUGAGACUAACAAACUUGUAAUCUCAGUUGUGCCCUUUAAAUUUCUUGUAGCUUUUUUAAUCAAACUAUCAUUUCCCAACCAAGGAACUUGAAGCUUUAAGCAUCAGUCCACUAAGGUCACAGAACACAACUUCAAGGCAUGAAUUCUUUACAAUGAAGGACAUUUUGUUUUAAUAAUUUGAAAUGAGUAAAGCGAGACAUUUUUUAAAAAACUUGUUACUGAAGACCAAGGAACAUGAGUUGACAUUUGGUGUUUUGUGUGUUUUUUUGAAAUCCAUAAAUGGAUUUUAAACAGUAAAAUGGCUCCAGCAGUGAGUACCUGGGUGAGGUUGUACAGUAUUUCUGCUGCCGCUGUUGUCCACACAUCUAAUGUUCCAGAAUUUUCUUCUCGCUUUUGCUGUUUGGCUGCUGCUAAGCAACAUCUCUGUGACAGAACUCAAUUCCCAUUGUUCAGUCCUUAUUGUAAAAGUAAAAGUUUGAAAUAAAGCUUAUAUGUUGAUGUUA